AAGACUAAUGAAGACUAAUGCAUAUCUUGAAGAAGGAAAGAAUAGUUCAGUUUUUGGCAAAAUGUUCACUUCAGCUUGAGAUGUUAAGAUUUGCGAAUUCUUUUCUCAAGAUGAAGGAACAAAGCAAAAAGGAGGCUAAUUUUUCCAUUUAGCCUUAAUGAUCUGAUUGAUAUUUAGAUAGCUGGAACUUGGAAGCUAAUGGAAGCUCAUGGAAUUUUGUCAUGAAUGCUUGAUACUUUGUUUUAUCCUUUCCAAUAUCUUUACCAAAAGUCAUUAUUUACUUCAACAGCCACUUGCUAUAGUAUAGAUAUCAAACUGU